ACUGAACGCUGGCGGCAGGCCUAACACAUGCAAGUCGAGCGGAUGAAGGGAGCUUGCUCCUGGAUUCAGCGGCGGACGGGUGAGUAAUGCCUAGGAAUCUGCCUGGUAGUGGGGGAUAACGUCCGGAAACGGGCGCUAAUACCGCAUACGUCCUGAGGGAGCAAGUGGGGGAUGUUCGGACCUCACGCUAUCAGAUGAGCCUAGGUCGGAUUAGCUAGUUGGUGGGGUAAAGGCCUACCAAGGCGACGAUCCGUAACUGGUCUGAGAGGAUGAUCAGUCACACUGGAACUGGGACACGGUCCAGACUCCUACGGGAGGCAGCAGUGGGGAAUAUUGGACAAUGGGCGAAAGCCUGAUCCAGCCAUGCCGCGUGUGUGAAGAAGGUCUUCGGAUUGUAAAGCACUUUAAGUUGGGAGGAAGGGCAGUAAGUUAAUACCUUGCUGUUUUGACGUUACCAACAGAAUAAGCACCGGCUAACUUCGUG
rnacentral:rRNA from 1 species